UACGGAGGGAGCUAGCGUUGUUUGGAAUUACUGGGCGUAAAGCGCACGUAGGCGGCUUUGUAAGUUAGAGGUGAAAGCCCGGGGCUCAACCCCGGAAUUGCCUUUAAGACUGCAUCGCUUGAAUCCGGGAGAGGUGAGUGGAAUUCCGAGUGUAGAGGUGAAAUUCGUAGAUAUUCGGAAGAACACCAGUGGCGAAGGCGGCUCACUGGACCGGUAUUGACGCUGAGGUGCGAAAGCGUGGGGAGCAAACGGG
rnacentral:rRNA from 1 species